rnacentral:misc_RNA from 1 species
CAUGACCACGUACGGUUUAUUUUAGUGCAUGCUCUCGACUGUCUGUGACACAACGGUGUUGGAAGUGUAAGACAGGUAUUAUUAUAACGGAAGCUGACUUAUAUCAACAGACAUGAGUGAAGGAGCUAAAACAGUGGAAUAUUACCGCGAAAUUGGUGAGAGAGUAGCCGACACGUUACAAAAAUACAACAAUGAUACUGAAGGCUGGGAGGAAAGCAAGUCUACGACACAUUUUAAGAUCUCCUAUAGGAAGUCGACAGAGUUUCAAGGCUACCUAUACAAGGGAGAGGCUGUGUAUGCUGCUAAACCUAAAGUUGUGUUCGACUACGUGGAACCUCUACCUAACGGACACCGCGCGAAAUGGGAUAAAAACAUGAAGAAAAUAGAAAUCAUCAAACAAAUGGAAAACGACCUCCGCAUUAACAGAGCCUGUACCAACAGCGCGUGUAUGGGACUCAUAUCACCCCGAGAUUUUGUAGACCUUAUAUUAAUCAAAGAAACAGACGAGUAUCUAUCAACCAAUGCUAUAAGUAUUGAACACAGCGACUGUCCGGCCGAUGAAGGUCAUGUAAGGGGACAUAACUACAGCUGUGGUAUGAUUGUGUGUAAAUAUCCAAACUGUCAGUAUAGAAGGUGAAUUAGAAGAGCAGAAGAAAUAUGUGAGGGGAUGGAACUAUCAGUGUGGUAUUAUAGUCGUCAAAUUACCAUCUGAGCCAAAUAAGUGUAAACUUAUAAGUCUCAUCCAGCCCGAGAUCAAAGGAAUGGUUCCCGCCAAACUGAAGGAUGCCGCCAUUCCAG